rnacentral:rRNA from 1 species
AACGAACGCUGGCGGCGUGCUUAACACAUGCAAGUCGAACGCGAAAGGGACUUCGGUUCUUAGUAGAGUGGCGCACGGGUGAGUAACGCGUAGAUAACCUGUCUUCAUAUCCGGAAUAACACGCCGAAAGGGGUACUAAUACCGGAUAUUCUUGCAUUUCACAGGUAAGGCAAGGAAAGGUGGCCUCUGAUUCAAGCUACUGUAUGAAGAGGGGUCUGCGUACCAUUAGCUAGUAGGUGGGGUAAUGGCCUACCUAGGCGACGAUGGUUAGCGGGUCUGAGAGGAUGAUCCGCCACACUGGCACUGGAAUACGGGCCAGACUCCUACGGGAGGCGGCAGUGAGGAAUAUUGCGCAAUGGGGGCAACCCAGACGCAGCGACGCCGACGUUGAGUGAAGAAGGUCUUCGGAUCGUAAAGCUCUGUCAAGAGGGAAGAAGUGCAAGGCAGCGAAUAACUGUUUUGUUUGACGGUACCUCUAUAGGAAGCACCGGCUAACUCCGUGCCAGCAGCCGCGGUAAUACGGAGGGUGCGAGCGUUGUUCGGAAUCACUGGGCGUAAAGGGCGCGCAGGCGGGUUGUCAAGUCAGAUGUGAAAUCCCACGGCUUAACUGUGGACGUGCAUAUGAAACUGGCAGUCUUGAGUACCAGAGGGGAAUGUGGAAUUCCCGGUGUAGAGGUGAAAUUCGUAGAUAUCGGGAGGAAUACCGGUGGCGAAGGCGACAUUCUGGCUGGAUACUGACGCUGAGGCGCGAAAGCGUGGGGAGCAAACAGGAUUAGAUACCCUGGUAGUCCACGCCGUAAACGAUGUGAACUAGAUGCAGGGGGUGUUGAUCCCCUCUGUGUCGCAGCUAACGCAUUAAGUUCACCGCCUGGGGAGUACGGUCGCAAGAUUAAAACUCAAAGGAAUUGACGGGGGCCCGCACAAGCGGUGGAGUAUGUGGUUGAAUUCGAUGAACGCGAAGAACCUUACCUGGUCUUGACAUCCCGGAGACGCCCAUGAAAGUGGG